UGUAGUGAACAAUAUUUUGGAACAUUGUUACCUUUGCAAUAGUAAUAGAUAUCUACAACUUAAAUUCAAAGUCCUUUAAAAAGUUUAUUCCAUGUAUGAUAUAAUAUAGAAAUCUAUAUAGAACAUCAUCCAUUAUCAAGAAAUAAUUUGGAUAUACCAUUAAAAGCAAAACAAGGAUGUUCCGCAUUAAUAAAAGGGAAUUAACUAUAACAAGAUAUGGAUAAGAUAUUUGUAUUGUCGAUGCAUAAAUAUAGGUAGUUGAAGCCAUAUUUAAAAUAUUUUUAGAAGUUUUUAGAAGUUUUAAGAAUUGAGACUAAGUUAGUGGUUUAUUUAGGAUCCACUAAAAAACAUUCUAGAAAUAUCUUAAGGCAAUUAUUUAAAUCAAAUCC
rnacentral:lncRNA from 1 species